rnacentral:tRNA from 1 species
AACCUAUUAGCUCAAAUGGUAGAGCCACUAUGCAGAUGCAUAGGGGAUGUAGGUUCGAUUCCUACAUAGGUUG